rnacentral:rRNA from 1 species
GACGAACGCUGGCGGCGUGCUUAACACAUGCAAGUCGAGCGGUAAGGCCCUUUCGGGGGUACGACGAGCGGCGAACGGGUGAGUAACACGUGGGUGACCUGCCCUCAGCUCUGGGAUAAGCCUGGGAAACCGGGUCUAUACUGGAUAUGACUCCAUGACGCAUGUUGUGGGGUGGAAAGCCUUGUGCGGCUGAGGAUGGGCCCGCGGCCUAUCAGCUUGUUGGUGGGGUGAGGGCCCUACCAAGGCGACGACGGGUAGCCGGCCUGAGAGGGCGACCGGCC